CCUACGGGUGGCAGCAGUGGGGAAUAUUGCGCAAUGGGCGAAAGCCUGACGCAGCGACGCCGCGUGAGGGAUGAAGGUCUUCGGAUCGUAAACCUCUGUCAGCAGGGAAGAACGGUCACUGUGCUAAUCAGCAGUGAAUUGACGGUACCUGCAACGGAAGCACCGGCUAACUCCGUGCCAGCAGCCCCGGUAAUACGGAGGGUGCGAGCGUGAAUCGGUAUUACUGGGUGUAAAGCGCUCGUAGGCGGUAUGUCAAGUCAAGGGUGAAAGCCCCGCGCUCAACGGGGGAACUGCCUUUGAAACUGGCAAGCUGGAGUGUGUGAGAGGAUAGUGGAAUUCGAGGUGUAGGAGUGAAAUGCGUAGAUAUCUGGCGGAACAUCAGUGGCGAAGGCGACUAUCUGGCACAUAACUGACGCUGAGGAGCGAAAGCGUGGGUAGCAAACAGGAUUAGAUACCCUAGUAGUC
rnacentral:rRNA from 1 species